rfam:Schistosoma rodhaini strain Burundi genome assembly, scaffold: SROB_scaffold0000246
AUCGAGCUGACGAGUCCUAAAUAGGACGAAACAUGUGUUAAACUAGAU